AGUGAACGCUGGCGGUAGGCCUAACACAUGCAAGUCGAACGGCAGCACAGUAAGAGCUUGCUCUUACGGGUGGCGAGUGGCGGACGGGUGAGGAAUACAUCGGAAUCUACUUUUUCGUGGGGGAUAACGUAGGGAAACUUACGCUAAUACCGCAUACGACCUACGGGUGAAAGCAGGGGAUCUUCGGACCUUGCGCGAUUGAAUGAGCCGAUGUCGGAUUAGCUAGUUGGCGGGGUAAUGGCCCACCAAGGCGACGAUCCGUAGCUGGUCUGAGAGGAUGAUCAGCCACACUGGAACCGAGACACGGUCCAGACUCCUACGGGAGGCAGCAGUGGGGAAUAUUGGACAAUGGGCGCAAGCCUGAUCCAGCCAUACCGCGUGGGUGAAGAAGGCCUUCGGGUUGUAAAGCCCUUUUGUUGGGAAAGAAAAGCAGCAGGUUAAUACCCCGCUGUUCUGACGGUACCCAAAGAAUAAGCACCGGCUAACUUCGUG
rnacentral:rRNA from 1 species